CUCAUUGUUCAGUAAUAAGCAUUUGUUUUUAAACUCAGAGCCAAUUCAUUGAUUGAAUAAUCAGAUUCCACAGGUAUGUAUCAUCCUCCCUGUUGCAUGGUUUCCAUAGCAGAUUGUGUUAUGAGGUUCUUCAUCUCAUGCCACCAACGUCUGAAAUAAAUGAACAAACGGGCAUCGGCACAAUGUAACUCGAUCUUAAUCUUCAAUGGGUUUAGGUUAUUAAAUGAACAAUGAGCAUAAUGGUUAGGUGUAACCGUCUUUUCGAAAGAGGAUCCUUCCACUGAGAGGAUGAAGAUUGACCUGAACAGGUGGCUCUUUACAAAUCUAAUUGAUUGGCACAAACAAAAU